UUGAACACUUUUGCUGAUGAACUUGACUUAUACCUUCAAAGCGAUUUGAGAGGAGGUGCGGAAGGCCUGCUUACAACCCGAGAGGCGCUUUCAGAUCGGCCGGAGUCUUCUGCAGCGCGCAGGAGCUAGUCCUGCUGAAAAGAAUGAAAUUGGACUUGUCCAGGCGAGUUGCGGACAGCGCUGGGCUGCCCUACUCUGAUCUUCUGGGUGUCUUCACCUCCUCUUCUGGCUCCUGAGUUGGCUGCUGCACCAACACCCAUCAGACUCUCCUGGAACAGGAAGUGACAGCUCACCAGGAGCCCAGCAGGCUCCGUGGGCAGAAGCAUGGACUUCCUUCUCCUCAUGGAGACACUGCUGGGCCAUGUUUCCUUGGCACCACUCUGGAACCUUCAGCCAGCCACCACCUCAGACAGUAGCCGGACUUUAGGUCCAUUCCUUUCAUGUUUAAAAUGAGACAGUCCACACUGUUGAUUUUCUUUAUAGGGGACAUCAGGAUUCCAGAAAAGCAGACUUGGGAAGCCACAAAAUGUUAGCAUGCAGCUCACUGAGGCCCUUACACUUGGUCUGGGCAACUCUGUAUGUAAAGUCCAAUAUCUUUAGCUGCUGGUUAUAGGUGGCCAUAUGUUUUGGCCCAGAAAUGGGGCUCCCUCGCUAGACUAAUUCUUCUGCAGGCUCCAUUCAUUCACAUUCUUCUACUUGACCCUGCCUGUCAGGACCAACAGUACCAAAUAAACCAAAGUUUCUUGCCUCCUGUCCUCAGAAUCUCUCAGAAGCAUCCUCUUCCCUGCUGGAGCCAUUUUAUUUCAGGUUGAGCCUUAAUUAAAAUCAGCCAGAUGCAGGA